rnacentral:rRNA from 1 species
CCUACGGGUGGCUGCAGUCGAGAAUCAUUCACAAUGGGGGAAACCCUGAUGGUGCGACGCCGCGUGAGGGAAUGAAGGUCUUCGUAUUGUAAACCCCUGUCAUGUGGGAGCAAAUUAAAAAGAUAGUACCCGAAGAGGAAUAGACGGGUAACUCGCUGCCAGCAGCCGCGGUAAUACAGAGGUCUCAAGCGUUGUUCGGAAUCACUGGGCGUAAAGCGUGCGUAGGCUGUUUCGUAAGUCGUGUGUGAAAGGCGCGGGCUCAACCCGCGGACGGCAGAUGAUACUGGGAGACUAGAGUAAUGGAGGGGGAAGCGGAAUGCGCGGUGUAGCAGUGAAAUGCGUAGAUAUCGAGAGGAACACUCGUGGCGAAGGCGGGUUCCUGGACAUUAACUGACGCUGAGGCACGAAGGCCAGGGGAGCGAAAGGGAUUAGAUACCCGAGUAGUC